ACGAAUCCGGACAUACUACUCGCCUCGCCUACUGCUUUUCGCCUACUAUACAGUAUGGUAGUAGGCGAUUUCGGACGCAGCCAGGGUUUCGAUACGGAAUGCGGCAGUAAAGUGCGCCUAACGUCACUAGUCACGUGACCAAACCACGCCUCGGCAUAGUGGUCUGAUACAACCGCUUCAUGAGCUACUGCGCAUGUGUGGGAGCCUCGGGUGUCGGGACCAUCAGUACUGACAGGUGGCAGUGACCAGAGGAUCCUGUCUCUGUUGGCUACACACCAUUCUCCAGAUGAUCACCAACAGUGGGGAAACUCGUGCUUUACAUUUUCCCUUCCUUACAAAUUGACAACUACGCUCCCCUACUGAGCUAUGGUGCACCUGAAGACCUGAGUACAUCAACUCCAGAACUUGGAGGCAUGUGGCCCACUGAAGACAACCCAAAACGUUGGGUGUUCACACAACAAACCUCCAGACAAUUCAGAUAAGUAAAUUGUUCAGAGCAUUGUGAAAUGUUGCAUCAGAUUCUUAUUGCUGUGAAUAGCUUCUCAAAGUGAAAUUUAACAUUCCUUUAGUUUAGCAUUGCUUAAAUUGAACCUUUUUACAGGAGUGGUGCUUUACAACUGCAGAGUAAUUUAAAUUGCUGUUGAAGAUCAAAUUUGCAUGGCCUGCAUGGCCCUGUGAUAAACAAAAUGGGAAUUGUUUAAAGUGAAUGUUCCUUACAUGCUCUGACAUCAGCAGUAUGGCCUUUUCUUGGGACUUGCCACCAGUAAUUCAGAGAUGGCAUCUUGUAUUUCAGGUUUUCCUACCCCGAUUUUGUCUAAUUGAUUUGGAACUUUGCAGUGUGUAAGGAUGUCCGUUGUAGAGCAUAUCAUGCUUUAAACUCGAGCUUCUCCAUUUCUCCCUUAGGCAAUGCUUAACCAGAUGUCAUUCUGUGGCCAGUCAGCAGCAUUCAUGAGGACAGGCAGGAUAGACAGGUUUGUUUAUAAAUGGACAAUAUUAUUAUUGAAAUUAAAGCUUUACAAAACUUUUUUUUUUGCAGCCACUCCAUCCCAGCUCAUCCAGCUGCUGAUCUUUUUGGCAAUAUGUGAAAUCCCUACUGGUCAAACCUCAA